GGAAAAGAAGAAAGGAAACUGUGUUGGACUUAGACUAAAAGCACUCUGUUCUAAAAAAAGAAAGUAAUAAACUGGUGCUUCUGAGGCAGGUAUGUAUGUAGUUCCCACUCUGGCAGUAGCAUCCAGUUGGCCAAUACUUCUCCUUUGAGAUGUUUUGAAGAAAAAGUAAUUCAUAAAUAGCUACAGCUUGGUCAGAAAAAGCAGCUUUCAUAAUAUUCUCAAUUCUUGUCCCAAAAAUAGUAUCCGACAGUGAUGCAAGGAUAUAAUUCGAAUUAAGUAGGAAGAUGCAACACAAAUUUUUUCUUAACAGCUGGUUCCUGAAGAUCCUUAUUAUUUAUACUACUAUAACAAAAGAACUAGAACAAAGGCAGAGCACUGUGCUAAAUAUCUAAAAGGCAGCGAGAAUCUCUGCUGCAAGUUAGAACUGUAGAAGAAAAAUUUCACUUGCAAACAGAGGAGACACUCAAGCCUAACCAGCAAACAAAACAUGCACUGGAAUGGGACAGAAAAUUAGACUGUUUGCAUUGGACCAUAUCCAAACUGCAGCUAUGACAUUCAACAUCUGUUUUGUAAUGCAUGUAGGACUACUCAGAUUUCCAAGUAACUGAUAGCAGGGGGUCAAGAGAGUCCACGGUAGCUGGUUUUCAGUAUAUUACACUGUUGUAAUCCAUUCUCUUUCUAAAAUUACUAGGUCUAGAGAGUUGACUUUUUUUUUUAUAUCAGUGCUGCUGCUCAAAACACCACUGAAGUUGCAAGAAGGGGUAAAUUACAGAAUAAAAGCAUUUUAUCACCUGAAGUCUGAAGAGGUCAACUUGUGUAUGGCAAGAACAAGAAGCAGUGCUUACCCUCUGCUGGUCAAAUAACGGGCUGCAGGACUAUUUCUUGCUAUGUUCCCAGCUGGAGAUAUGUGGUCAGUUGUCACAGAAUCCCCAAAACUCAAUAGGACAUAAGCGUCUUCUAUUGUUUUUGGGGUCUGAAGAGCCAAA